rnacentral:miRNA from 1 species
AUCGAAACGUCGCUAAACUAAACC